CAACACAAAAUUCAAUUGAACUUCUUUUAACUAACAACAUUAACAUCAGCAACAAUCACAUUAGCACAAACAAACAAAACUAUUUCAAUACUUACCUAUACUUACAGUAUUACCUUUUUUUACCUAUUAUUCUUCAAGAUGAAUGCGUUUUUAACACAAAAAGAACUAUUUUCUCGUAAAAUAUUUAUUAUCAAACACUCUUAUUAGUUGUAAACAAUUGAUCACACCUUAAGUUUUAUUGCAAAAUGAGGAAGAAACCAUAUUACUUUGGGUGAAACGAAUUACUGAAUCAAUAAUGAUAUUUGCUUACUGAACAAUCUAUGAAUAGAUGAUUGGUAAUGAUGAUGAUAAUGAUGAUAUUAUAGGAAGGAAUUUUUGUGUUGAAUCAAAUUGAUUGUUACAGAGAGACUAAAAAGAGUCAUUUCAACAAUCAAAGGAUCAACUUGAGUUUUGAAAAGAAGAGAGUCAACAUUUUCAAUGAUUUAUACCAAAAAUUGCUGUUAAUUUUUCAACUUCUCCUGUUGCUACAUCUCAUGUUUAGUGUUGACCGAUGUUUUGUUUAUGUUAAACCAUUGAAUCUAAUUGAUUGACCCAUUGUUACCAAGCAAGCAACAAAACAAUAAAAAAAGGAUAAUGCCUUUAACUGUAUUCAACAAGCAUAUUGAUCAGAUAAUGUUGGUGCGUAACCUGGUUUUACAAGGAAAUACAUGUUGACUAAAAAAUUUACUUGUGUACAUAUUCACUGAUCAUUUCAAUCAUAAUGAUUUGGCCGCAAUCUUCUACAUGCAUUGAAUAUUUCGCUCAUCCAUUCUCUCUGGUACACCUAGUGAAACUUUACAUCUCAAUCAGUGUUUGAUUAUCAAUAAUGGCUGCUGAAUAAAAAUCAAAGCUACUAAUAGCUAGUAAUUAAGGGGCGUCUGAGAAAUAGUGGAACUAAAUUCAAAUGUAAAAAUAACGACUUUAAAACGACUUUUAAACAGGAGUUUAUGCUAAAAAUUUGACUUGAGUUAAAAGUUGGGACUUUGUAAGUUUGUAGAGGCAUAAAAACUGGGCCCAUUAAAAAUUUUACAAUCGACAGUUUUCAACAAAAUCGAGGCCAAAGUUGAAACUCCGAUCGCCUUUUGUUCAGUUAUGAAACCAGAUUUUUUAUCAUAAAUUAUGAUUCAUAAUCAUUCUUCUGAUGUAACUUUUAAUGCCAAUCAGGGAAUGCAUUUAUUUUGAGAAAUAAAGUUUUCUGUUUCUACACGAAA